UACGGAGGGGGCUAGCGUUGUUCGGAAUUACUGGGCGUAAAGCGCGCGUAGGCGGCUUUCCAAGUUGGGGGUGAAAUCCCGGGGCUUAACCCCGGAAUUGCCCUCAAAACUGGAAGGCUUGAGGUCGAGAGAGGUAAGGGGGAUUCCUAGUGUAGAGGUGAAAUUCGUAGAUAUUGGGAAGAACACCAGUGGCGAAGGCGCCUUACUGGCUCGAUUCUGACGCUGAGGUGCGAAAGCGUGGGGAGCAAACAGG
rnacentral:rRNA from 1 species